rnacentral:rRNA from 1 species
AGCAGCCGCGGUAAUUCCAGCUCCAAUAGCGUAUAUUAAAGUUGUUGCAGUUAAAAAGCUCGUAGUUGAAUUUCGGGGUCAGUAGGUUGGUCGUGCCACUGGUAUGCACUGGUCUCACUGAUUCCUCCUUCCUGAUGAGCCGUAAUGCCAUUAAUUUGGUGUUGCGGGGAAUCUGGACUGUUACUUUGAAAAAAUUAGAGUGUUUAAAGCAGGCUAACGCUUGAAUACAUUAGCAUGGAAUAAUGAAAUAGGACGAUCGAUCCUAUUUUGUUGGUUUCUAGGAUUGACGUAAUGAUUAAUAGGGAUAGUUGGGGGCAUUAGUAUUCAAUUGUCAGAGGUGAAAUUCUUGGAUUUAUUGAAGACUAACUACUGCGAAAGCAUUUGCCAAGGAUGUUUUCAUUAAUCAAGAACGAAAGUUAGGGGAUCGAAGACGAUCAGAUACCGUCGUAGUCUUAACCAUAAACUAUGCCGACUAGGGAUCGGAUGAUGUUAAUUUUUUAAUGGCUCAUUC